AAACUUUACUAUUGAGGAAAUUCAUCCGUUGGUAACGCUUAUCAUAUGAAAUUAACGCUUAGACUUAUAAUGGGUACAAAUCAAGUAAUAUUCUAAUAAGGACGGCUAACUAAAAUGAAGAAUUUAAAGAAAGAAAUCAGAUUAUGAUAUUCAUUUUGUGAAAAGACACAUUCAUAUAAAUUGGGGCCAAAAUGUGGUUACAAAUAUAUUUUCCUUCUUUCAAAAAAAUGUGCACCAUCCAUCUAAUAGUUUUAGAAUUUUUUAUAGGCAAGAAUCGACACAGAACACUUAAACGAACACAAAGGAAAACUUAUGGUGCCGGACCAUAGGAAAUGA
rnacentral:lncRNA from 1 species